CUAAGAAUAUUCCGCAAUGGACGGAAGUCUGACGGAGCGACGCCGCGUGGAUGAAGAAGGCCGAAAGGUUGUAAGGUUCUUUUGCUGGGGAAGAAUAACCGCAGGAGGGAAUGCCUGUGGGAUGACAAGAACCGGCGAAUAAGCCCCGGCCAACUACGUGCCAGCAGCCGCGGUAACACGUAGGGGGCGAGCGUUGUUCGGAAUUACUGGGCGUAAAGGGCAUGUAGGCGGCUUGGAAAGCCUGGCGUGAAAGUCUGCAGCUUAACUGCAGGGGUGCGCUGGGAACUGCUGAGCUUGAGUGACGGAGAGGGAGCUGGAAUUCCUGGUGUAGGGGGUGAAAUCUGUAGAUAUCAGGAAGAACACCGAUGGCGAAGGCAAGCUCCUGGCCGAUGACUGACGCCGAGGUGCGAAAGUGUGGGGGAUCAAACAGGAUUAGAUACCCUGGUAGUCCACACAGUCAACGAUGUGCACUAGGUGCUGGGGCGGUAGCUUCGGUGCCGGAGCGAACGUGGUAAGUGCACCGCCUGGGGAGUAUGCUCGCAAGGGUGAAACUUAAAUGAAUUGACGGGGUCAUAGCUGUUUCCU
rnacentral:rRNA from 1 species